GAUGAUGAAGAUAUAGCAAUUAUUUCGGCUGUGGUUCAACAGCAAAAAGGGAUUCGAGGCAAAUGGGUUUCCUCAGUGCCUAGGUGCAAUUGAUGGAUGCCACAUCGAAAUAAAACCACCAGCACCUGAGGCAGUAGACCACCAUAAGGCUGAGGCUGGUAUUCCACAGUCUUGUUUGCCCUAGUGGAUUAUAGGGUUUAAGUUACCAAGCUGUCCGUGAGUAGCGUGGGAUUAUUUGGCCGCCCGCCUUUUGAAGGUGGAAAUUGCCAAGUCAAAGAAUAG